AGAGUUUGAUCCUGGCUCAGGAUGAACGCUGGCGGCGUGCUUAAUACAUGCAAGUCGAACGGAAACAGUAGCAAUAUUGUUUUAGUGGCGAACGGGUGAGUAACGCGUUGGUGACCUGCCCCGAAGAGAGGGAUAACAGUUCGAAAGGAUUGCUAAUACCUCAUGUGGUUAUAUGGUUUAGAAGCUUAUAACUAAACGGAUUUAUUCGCUUCGGGAGGGGCCUGCGUCCCAUCAGCUAGUUGGUAAGGUAAUGGCCUACCAAGGCGAUGACGGGUAGGGGACCUGAGAGGGUGGCCCCCCACAAUGGAACUGAAACACGGUCCAUACACCUACGGGUGGCAGCAGUAGGGAAUAUUGGUUAAUGUGGGAAACCGCGAACCAGCAACGCCGCGUGCACGAUGAAGGCCUUCGGGUCGUAAAGUGCUUUUAGAGAGGAUGAGGAAGGACAGUACUCUCUGAAUAAGCCUCGGCUAACUACGUGCCAGCAGCCGCGGUAAAACGUAGGAGGCGAGCGUUAUCCGGAUUUACUGGGCGUAAAGCGCGUGUAGGCGGUCUGACAAGUUGGAUGUGAAAGCUCCUGGCUUAACUGGGAGAGGUCGUUCAAAACUGUUAGACUUGAGAGUGGUAGAGGGAGGUGGAAUUCCGGGUGUAGUGGUGAAAUGCGUAGAUAUCCGGAGGAACACCAGUGGCGAAAGCGGCCUCCUGGACCAUUUCUGACGCUCAGACGCGAAAGCUAAGGUAGCAAACGGGAUUAGAGACCCCGG
rnacentral:rRNA from 1 species